UGGGGAGUUUUGGACAAUGGGGGAAACCCUGAUCCAGCCAUCCCGCGUGUGCGAUGAAGGCCUUCGGGUUGUAAAUCACUUUUGGCAGGAAAGAAACGUCAUGGGUUAAUACCCCGUGAAACUGACGGUACCUGCAGAAUAAGCACCGGCUAACUACGUGCCAGCAGCCGCGGUAAUACGUAGGGUGCAAGCGUUAAUCGGAAUUACUGGGCGUAAAGCGUGCGCAGGCGGUUCGGAAAGAAAGAUGUGAAAUCCCAGAGCUCAACUUUGGAACUGCAUUUUUAACUACCGGGCUAGAGUGUGUCAGAGGGAGGUGGAAUUCCGCGUGUAGCAGUGAAAUGCGUAGAUAUGCGGAGGAACACCGAUGGCGAAGGCAGCCUCCUGGGAUAACACUGACGCUCAUGCACGAAAGCGUGGGGAGCAAACAGG
rnacentral:rRNA from 1 species